rnacentral:rRNA from 1 species
AGAGUUUGAUCAUGGCUCAGAUUGAACGCUGGCGGCAGGCCUAACACAUGCAAGUCGAACGGUAACAGGAAGCAGCUUGCUGCUUCGCUGACGAGUGGCGGACGGGUGAGUAAUGUCUGGGAAACUGCCUGAUGGAGGGGGAUAACUACUGGAAACGGUGGCUAAUACCGCAUAACGUCGCAAGACCAAAGAGGGGGACCUUCGGGCCUCUUGCCAUCAGAUGUGCCCAGAUGGGAUUAGCUAGUUGGUGAGGUAACGGCUCACCAAGGCGACGAUCCCUAGCUGGUCUGAGAGGAUGACCAGCCACACUGGAACUGAGACACGGUCCAGACUCCUACGGGAGGCAGCAGUGGGGAAUAUUGCACAAUGGGCGCAAGCCUGAUGCAGCCAUGCCGCGUGUAUGAAGAAGGCCUUCGGGUUGUAAAGUACUUUCAGCGGGGAGGAAGGUGUUGCGGUUAAUAACCGCAGCAAUUGACGUUACCCGCAGAAGAAGCACCGGCUAACUCCGUGCCAGCAGCCGCGGUAAUACGGAGGGUGCAAGCGUUAAUCGGAAUUACUGGGCGUAAAGCGCACGCAGGCGGUCUGUCAAGUCGGAUGUGAAAUCCCCGGGCUCAACCUGGGAACUGCAUUCGAAACUGGCAGGCUUGAGUCUUGUAGAGGGGGGUAGAAUUCCAGGUGUAGCGGUGAAAUGCGUAGAGAUCUGGAGGAAUACCGGUGGCGAAGGCGGCCCCCUGGACAAAGACUGACGCUCAGGUGCGAAAGCGUGGGGAGCAAACAGGAUUAGAUACCCUGGUAGUCCACGCCGUAAACGAUGUCUACUUGGAGGUUGUGCCCUUGAGGCGUGGCUUCCGGAGCUAACGCGUUAAGUAGACCGCCUGGGGAGUACGGCCGCAAGGUUAAAACUCAAAUGAAUUGACGGGGGCCCGCACAAGCGGUGGAGCAUGUGGUUUAAUUCGAUGCAACGCGAAGAACCUUACCUGGUCUUGACAUCCAC